CCGGCCAAUUUUCAACAAAGAAACUUUUUCUGUCAAGUUUGGUCCAGGGUUGUAUAAUACACAUAUAAAAGGCUGGAAUUCUCCAGGGAACGCACAGAGUCAUUUCAGCAUCAGAGGAAGACAACUGAGCAAGACUUCACGUUUCACAGACCAUUCAGUCAAGUCCUGCCUCUUUGAUCAGUUUGACGGUACAUCUGCAAUGAUGAAGGCAUACAUCUGUCUGUUCCUCGUACUGUGUCUUGGCUGUACCAUGGUGAUAUCAUUUACAGCGGACAUGGAGGAUGAAGACUUGCUGAAACUGCGUGAUCUUCUCAACUCCUACUUCAAUGUGAAAAGGACCUGCUUUACAUCUGAUCAAUGCCAAUCGGGGUUAUCUUGCAUAGACGGAGAGUGCACGGAAUUAAGUUAGAGGGGGAGUGUUGUCAGGAUUAUUUCACCAGACAAUGAAGGAACGGCAUCUGGACAAACAAUACAGUAUAAACACAAGGAUGGCUGAUUGAAAUUUGAGUUUUCUAAACUAUUUUGGGGGCUCGAGACGUUAAUACAGCUUGAUAGUCUUCUAGGUUAAGGCUUUCUCACAACAUCUCCAACUAUGCUACACUUUUAGAUUGAAAUAUCAAAAUUAGGCUUAACGUUUAGCAGGAUGUCAAGGUGGCACAUGUAUGUUCAUCCAUUUCAUAUUGCAUUAUCUGGAGGUGAUUUAACUGCAAAAGCUGAUUCAAUCGCGUAGUUCAUGAAAGCUUGGCGUAUAUUGUAUGGGAAAAACAAACAACUCUAGCACGACUUUCACGCAUUCAUGCAAACAAAUCUGUAAGUUACAGGUUGUUAAAACUUGUUUCCCUGAGACACUGUGAAAGGAUUUGAUGAAAGUCGGAAAGACAUCCUAACUAAUCCAUGAAGUAAAUAAUCCCAACGUCAACUGACGAGCACGAAACAUGAUGAAAACCUAGUACAAAAGCAAGAUGCAUGCAGUUUUUCAGGGCAAGAACUUUACAGACGGAAUAGGUGGCAAUCGCCUUAGCGCCCUCGUCUUGGUGCCCACUGAAAUAUUUCCUCAGGUAACUUGAUUUUCCAACGCAUGCCUUUGCGAAGGAAAAAUUAUCUUGCCUUUUCAAGAAUAAAGUUUCUGCCCUGGCUUUCAUGGCCCAACUGGUUUGACGGUUGACUUUGGUAAAAAAGACAAAGAAGCCUGAAAUACGUUCCUCUUUAAAAUACUUUAACCAAUUGUUGUUACUCCUAUAUUGUUUUAGGCUUCAAAUUUGCAAAACCAAUUUCAAAUGGAACAUGAAAGUAGCUUAUUGUUGUUUACGCCCAACCAUUUUCUUACUUCACAAGGUUUUCUUUUUUUCUCGCAUGGCUUAUUUUUAUAUAGGUGGUUGCUUGAUUUGAAUAAAUAGAUAACAAUGCAGCAAUUCGGGACUUUUA